rnacentral:rRNA from 1 species
UACGGAGGGUGCAAGCGUUAAUCGGAAUUACUGGGCGUAAAGCGCACGUAGGCGGUCAAUUAAGUCAGAUGUGAAAGCCCCGGGCUUAACCUGGGAAUUGCAUCUGAAACUGGUUGGCUAGAGUCUGGGAGAGGGUAGUAGAAUUCCGUGUGUAGCGGUGAAAUGCGUAGAGAUGUGGAGGAAUACCAGUGGCGAAGGCGGCCCCCUGGACAAAGACUGACGCUCAGGUGCGAAAGCGUGGGGAGCAAACAGG